UACGGAGGGAGCUAGCGUUGUUCGGAUAUACUGGGCGUAAAGCGCACGUAGGCGGCGUCGUAAGUCAGGGGUGAAAUCCCGGAGCUCAACUCCGGAACUGCCCUUGAAACUGCAAUGCUAGAAUCUUGGAGAGGCGAGUGGAAUUCCGAGUGUAGAGGCGAAAUUCGUAGAUAUUCGGAAGAACACCAGUGGCGAAGGCGACUCGCUGGACAAGUAUUGACGCUGAGGUGCGAAAGCGUGGGGAGCAAACAGG
rnacentral:rRNA from 1 species